ensembl:ncRNA W10C8.15 ncRNA
AUCACCUCCACCACCACUUCCGUUCGCACCCGCCAGUUUACUGUAAGGUGCGAACUACAGUAGUUCGCCACGUCACACACACACAAUGUAAUGUCUUGGAAACUGGGUGUGGAGACGAACGAAAAAAAAAUAGUGGCGAGGGAUCAGACAAAUAGUGGGGAAGAAAAACGACGACGACAACGUCUUCUUUGGGGUCUUCGGGCGGCAAAUGAUUUAC